rnacentral:rRNA from 1 species
UGGUAGCAAUAUCAGGGGUGUUCAGUGGCGUAAGGGUGCGUAACACGUGGGCAAUCUGCCGGGAAGUGGGGGAUAGCUCGCCGAAAGGCGAAUUAAUACCGCAUGUGGUCAGGAAGGGAUUCCUUCCGACACCAAAGCUGGGGCAACCUAGCGCUUCCUGAUGAGCCCGCGGCCUAUCAGCUUGUUGGCGGGGUAACGGCCCACCAAGGCUAUGACGGGUAGCUGGUCUGAGAGGACGACCAGCCACACUGGAACUGAGACACGGUCCAGACACCUACGGGUGGCAGCAGUCGAGAAUUUUUCUCAAUGGGGGAAACCCUGAAGGAGCGACGCCGCGUGGAGGAUGAAGGUCUUCGGAUUGUAAACUCCUGUCAUUAGAGAACAAACUGCACGGAUUAACUGUCUGUGCACUGAUAGUAUCUGAAGAGGAAGAGACGGCUAGCUCUGUGCCAGCAGCCGCGGUAAUACAGAGGUCUCAAGCGUUGUUCGGAUUCAUUGGGCGUAAAGGGUGCGUAGGUGGCAUGGUAAGUCGGAUGUGAAAUCCCGGGGCUCAACCCCGGAACUGCAUUCGAUACUGCUGCGCUAGAGUACUGGAGAGGAGAUUGGAAUUUACGGUGUAGCAGUGAAAUGCGUAGAUAUCGUAGGGAAGACCAGUGGCGAAGGCGGAUCUCUGGACAGUUACUGACACUGAGGCACGAAGGCCAGGGGAGCAAACGGGAUUAGAUACCCCGGUAGUCCUGGCAGUAAACGGUGCGCGUUUGGUGUGGGAGGAUUCGACCCCUUCCGUGCCGGAGCUAACGCGUU